UACGGAGGAUCCGAGCGUUAUCCGGAUUUAUUGGGUUUAAAGGGUGCGCAGGCGGGAGAUUAAGUCGGCGGUGAAAUUUUGCAGCUCAACUGUAAAAGUGCCUUCGAAACUGGUUUCCUUGAGUGUAGAUGAAGUAGGCGGAAUUUGUGGUGUAGCGGUGAAAUGCUUAGAUAUCACGAGGAACUCCGAUGGCGCAGGCAGCUUACUAAACUACUACUGACGCUCAGGCACGAGAGCGUGGGGAGCAAACAGG
rnacentral:rRNA from 1 species